AUUGAACGCUGGCGGCAUGCCUUACACAUGCAAGUCGAACGGUAACGCGGGGCAACCUGGCGACGAGUGGCGAACGGGUGAGUAAUGCAUCGGAACGUGCCCGGUAGUGGGGGAUAACUGCUCGAAAGAGCAGCUAAUACCGCAUACGACCUGAGGGUGAAAGGGGGGGAUCGCAAGACCUCUCGCUAUCGGAGCGGCCGAUGUCGGAUUAGCUAGUUGGUGGGGUAAAGGCCCACCAAGGCAACGAUCCGUAGCUGGUCUGAGAGGACGACCAGCCACACUGGGACUGAGACACGGCCCAGACUCCUACGGGAGGCAGCAGUGGGGAAUUUUGGACAAUGGACGCAAGUCUGAUCCAGCCAUGCCGCGUGCGGGAAGAAGGCCUUCGGGUCGUAAACCGCUUUUGUCAGGGAAGAAAUCUUCUGGACUAAUACUCUGGGAGGAUGACGGUACCUGAAGAAUAAGCACCGGCUAACUACGUGCCAGCCGCCGCAGUAAUAC
rnacentral:rRNA from 1 species